UACGUAGGGUGCAAGCGUUGUUCGGAAUUACUGGGCGUAAAGGGUGCGCAGGCCGCGCGGGCAGUCAAAUGUGUAAUCCAGGGGCUCAACCCCUGAACUGCGCUUGAUACUUCCGCGCUCGAGCUUUGGAGAGGAGUCGUGGAAUUCUCGGUGUAGCAGUGAAAUGCGUGGAUAUCGAGAAGAACACUUAGGGCGUAGGCAAGACUCUGGACAAAUGCUGACGCUCGAUGACACGAAGGCUAGGGUAGCGAACGGG
rnacentral:rRNA from 1 species